AACCUGUGAAGCUCUGGUGAACUCCAUGCCCAAGAGGGUUAAAGCAGUGGGUGUACUCACUUUUGUUGCCAGCGGUUUAGACAUUAAUGGCUGUGUGUUGAGUUAUUUUGAGGGGACAGCAAAUUUACACUGUUACACAAGCUGUACACUCACUACUUUACAUUGUAGCAAAGUGUCAUUUCUUCAGUGUUGUCACAUGAAAAGAUAUCAUCAAAUAUUUACACAAAUGUGAGGGGUGUACUCACUUUUGUGAGAUACUGUGUAUAUAUAUAUAUAUAUAUAUAUUCUAAAAAAAGACAUAGAGACAGUGCAAGAAAGAGACAAUAAGUGAGACAGAAGGACAGACAGAGAUACAGAAGGACAGACAAAGAGACAGUGAGACAGGAAACAAUGAAAGAGUCAGACAGAUAGAAAGUACAAAAAACAAACAAACAACCAAUUUGGGAUGGACAGACAGUGGUAGAGUGAGAGAGAGAGAGAGAGAGAGAGAGAGACAGUGAGAGCAAGAGAAACAGACAGACAGACAGUGAUAGAGAGACAGACAGAUAGUGAUGGAGAGACAGACAGAUAAACAGACAGUGAUAGAGAGACAGACAGAUAGUGAUGGAGAGACAGACAGAUAGACAGACAGUGAUAGAGAGACAGACUGACAGUGAUGGAGAAACAGACAGCCAGUGAGAGAGACAGACACUGAGAGAGAGAGAGAGAGAGAGAGAGAGAGAGAGAGAGAGACAGACAGAUAGGCAGUGAUAGAGAGACAGACAGGCAGUGAUAGAGAGACAGACAGACAGUGAGAGAGACAGACAGAGAGACAGACAGUGAUAGAGGGACAGAUGAACAGUGAGAGAGAGAGAGACAGACAGACAGUGAAAGAGAAACAGACAGACAGUAAUGGAGAGACAGACAGCCAGUGAGAGAGAUAGACACUGAGAGAGAGAGAAACAGACAGACAGUGAUAAAGAGACAGACAGGCAGACAGACAGUGAUAGAGAGACAGACAGACAGUGAUGGAGAAACAGACAGCCAGUGAGAGAGACAGACACUGAGAGAGAGAGAGAGAGAGAGAGAGAGAGAGAGAGAGAGAGAGACCGACAGGCAGUGAUAGAGACAGACAGACAGUGAGAGAGACAGACAGAGAGACAGACAGUGAUAGAGGGACAGAUGAACAGUGAGAGAGAGAGAGAGAGAGAGAGACAGACAGUGAUGGAGAGACAGACACACAGACAGACAGUGAUAGAGAAACAGACAGGCAGUGAUAGAGGGACAGAUGAACAGUGAGAGAGAGAGAGAGAGAGACAGACAGACAGUGAUGGAGAGACAGACACACAGACAGCCAGUGAUAGAGAAACAGACAGGCAGUGAUAGAGGGACAGAUGAACAGUGAGAGAGAGACAGAAAACUUAUUUACAAUUAAUGUUUUUUAAAAAGUAUUUAAAAAAGAAACAAUACUAUGAAUAAAGUGAGAGUAAAAUCAGACAUGUACGCUCUGUAUUAGUAUUAAAAUUAAUGUUAGAUAAAAUACAGUAAAAUGUAAAGGAUUUCUGAUAAUAAAGGUAUUUUGCGAGGCCUGAAGCAGGAUUUGUGAGUAAUUAAUAAUUCCACAGGAAGUCUCUGGCUCUCUUUAUGUUGCUGUUGCGUUGUGUUUUUCCUCAGCGCACACUCUGUGCUCUUCCCUCCCCGAUCCCCACAGGCCGCUCUCAGCAAGCCCCAGCGUAUCGAUUAGCCUCAGCCCACGUUUGCAUAAUUUCUCUUUUGGAGUCAGAAACACACUCUUUAUCACCUCGGCUUCCAUCGUGAGUCGUGUGUGAGUGAGCAGGAAUGUGUGUGAAUCAGGCCAUGGUUCUCUGUGGGGCUUCUGGACUGAUCGCGCCGGGCGUACAGCGCUGAUUAGCAUCUUGAUACAGUGAUGCUUACUACAUGAAGCUGAGCUGCAAAAUGAACAAAUGUGAUUAAUGUGUAGAGAAUAAAAUGAAAUAAUAAUAAAAAAAAUUUUUUUUAAUUAUUGCUUGAAUGUUGUGAUUCAUGUGAAAUUUUAAACAUGUAGCUUUUAGACAUGUACAUGUGAUUAUUUUUACAUGAUUCACUUACAUUCACAUAUGAUUCACGUCAUUUAUUUAAACAUGAUUCUUUAAUUCUUUUAUUAUU
ensembl:lncRNA